rnacentral:rRNA from 1 species
CCAAUCGAACUCGGAGAUAGCUGGUUCUCCUCGAAAUAGCUUUAGGGCUAGCGUCAUGUAAUAUAGCCAACGGGGGUAGAGCUCUGUAAACGACUGGGGCGGGCAACUGUACCCACCGUUAACAAACUACGAAUACCGUUGGUGGUACCAUGGCAGUUAGAACAUCGGGGCUAAGCUCGGUGCUCAAAAGGGAAACAGCCCAGACCAUCAUCUAAGGUCCCUAAAUUAACACUAAGUGGGAAACAAGGUGAAAUUUCUUAAACAGCGAGGAUGUUGGCUUAGAAGCAGCCAUUCAUUUAAAGAGUGCGUAACAGCUCACUCGUCAAGAGAUUUUGCGUGGAAAAUGUAACGGGGCUAAAGUGUUAUACCGAAGAUAUGGAUUUCGUUAUUCCUACGGGUUUAACGGAGUGGUAGAGGAGCGUUCCUAUCGGCAGUGAAGCUCAAUCGUAAGGUUGGGUGGAGCGUUAGGAAGUGAGAAUGCUGGAAUGAGUAACCAUAAGAAAGGUGAGAAUCCUUUCGGCCGUAAGAGCGAGGUUUCCAGGGCUACUGUAAUAAUCCCUGGGUUAGUCGGGCCUAAGCCGAGGCGUAGCAGCGUAGGCGAUGGACAUCAGGUUAAUAUUCCUGAACCGGUUAUAAUUUGUAUACUGUGUACGGUAAAUUAGUCGAAGCGGAUUAUUGGUAUAUAUCCGUCCAACUUAGCGGGAACGCAAAAGGAGUGAAAGUUAAUCUACGGAUUAACGAUUUUGAUGAAAGUACUGGCUAGAAAAGCAGAUAUACGCGUGGUUAUAGCCGCCCGUACCGCAAACCAACACAGGUGCUCGAGUCGAGUAGACUCAGGCUUACGAGCGAACCUUCGCUAAGGAACUCGGCAAUACAGCGACCGUAACUUCGGGAUAAGGUCUGCCCCCACUUCGGUGGAUAUCAGCCGCGUUCACUCAGUGAAUAUUAGGUUAAAGAGUACAUUUUUAAUCACAAAACGAAUUUUCUGAGAUAGAGCAAACGAAUUGUUCUUUUGAACGCGAACCUCUGGCAUCUAACGAUGUGGGGGCCGCAGCAAAAGAGCCCACGGAACUGUUUAUCAAAAACACAGGUCUCUGCUAACACGAAAGUGGAUGUAUAGGGGCUGACUCCUGCCCAAUGCUGGAAGGUUAAGGGGAGCGCUUCACGGUGCGAACUGAAGCCCUAGUCAAUGGCGGCGGUAACUAUAACCGUCCUAAGGUAGCGAAAUUCCUUGUCAGGUAAGUUCUGACCCGCACGAAUGGAGUAAUCAUGUGGGCACUGUCUCAGCGAAGGACUCGGUGAAAGUGCAUUGGCGGUAAAGAUGCCGUCUGUCCGUACCAGGACGAAAAGACCCCAUGGAGCUUUACUACAGCUUUACAUUGAAUAUGGUUUCAACAUGUGUAGCAUAGGUGGGAGACUUUGAAGCAGAUACGCCAGUAUUUGUGGAGUCACCAAGUGAAAUACCACCCUUGUUGUGAUUGUGUUCUCACGCUGACCGUUAUCCGGUUAGCGGACCGUGUAUGGUGGGUAGUUUAACUGGGGCGGUUGCCUCCUAAAGAGUAGCGGAGGCGUUCAAAGGU